rnacentral:rRNA from 1 species
UACGUAGGGCGCAAGCGUUGUCCGGAAUUAUUGGGCGUAAAGAGCUCGUAGGCGGUUUGUCGCGUCUGCUGUGAAAACCCGAGGCUCAACCUCGGGCCUGCAGUGGGUACGGGCAGACUAGAGUGCGGUAGGGGAGAAUGGAACUCCUGGCGUAGCGGUGGAAUGCGCAGAUAUCAGGAAGAACACCGAUGGCGAAGGCAGUUCUCUGGGCCGUAACUGACGCUGAGGAGCGAAAGCGUGGGGAGCGAACAGG